rnacentral:rRNA from 1 species
UGGUGGUUGCCUUGUCAGGUUGAUUCCGGUAACGAACGAGACCUCAGCCUGCUAAAUAGUCACUUCCGCUUUCUGCGGCUGGCAGACUUCUUAGAGGGACUAUUGGCGUCUAGCUAAUGGAAGUAUGAGGCAAUAACA